GGUAGCAAUGCCACUUUCAGGAUACUAGAGGUUGGUUGUGGAGCUGGAAAUAGUGUGUUUCCAAUUUUGAACACUUUGGAGGGAAGUCCACAGUAUGUUCUGCAAAGCCAGUUUAGAUGAAAAGCAAAAUCUGGUUGAUCGCCGCUUACAAGUUAAUAGGAAAAAACAAGUGAAAAUGCACCGAGUGUGGAUUCAAGGCAAAUUCCAGAAACCAUUGCACCAGACUCAGAAUAGCUCCAAUAUGGUAUCUACACUCCUUUCACAAGACUGAACUUUGUAACAUGUUAAGGUACAAAGCCAGAGGACUGUGCUAUUCAAGGACUACUGUAAGUCUAUUGUUUCUCAAAAGACAAUGAGAAAAAAAGAAGAGAAUUUGUAUUUCCUGCCGUUUUGUCAUAGGUGAGCUCCUUUGUGCAUUUUAAGCACAUGUAAGUGGUUCAGCACA
rnacentral:lncRNA from 1 species